AGCGAACGCUGGCGGCAGGCCUAACACAUGCAAGUCGAACGAACCCUUCGGGGUUAGUGGCGGACGGGUGAGUAACACGUGGGAACGUGCCUUUAGGUUCGGAAUAACUCAGGGAAACUUGUGCUAAUACCGAAUGUGCCCUUCGGGGGAAAGAUUUAUCGCCUUUAGAGCGGCCCGCGUCUGAUUAGCUAGUUGGUGAGGUAAUGGCUCACAAAGGCUACGAUCAGUAGCUGGGCUGAGAGGAUGACCAGCCACAUUGGGACUGAGACACGGACCAAACUCCUACGGGAGGCAGCAGUGGGGAAUCUUGCGCAAUGGGCGAAAGCCUGACGCAGCCAUGCCGCGUGGAUGAUGAAGGUCUUAGGAUUGUAAAAUCCUUUCACCGGUGAAGAUAAUGACUGUAGCCGGAGAAGAAGCCCCGGCUAACUUCGUGCCAGCAGCCGCCGUAACAC
rnacentral:rRNA from 1 species